GAUGAACGCUGGCGGCGCGCCUAACACAUGCAAGUCGAACGAUUAAAGCACCUUCGGGUGUGUAUAAAGUGGCGAACGGCUGAGUAACACGUGGGCAACCUGCCCCUCUCAUUGGGAUAGCCACGGGAAACCGUGGAUAAUACCGAAUACUUCGGGACUUCCGCAUGGAAGACUCGAGAAAGCUCCGGCGGAGAGGGAUGGGCCCGCGGCCUGUUAGCUUGUUGGGGGGGAAAUGGCCUACCAAGGCAAUGAAGGGGAGCUGGGGUGAGAGACGGACCAGCAAGAUUGGGACUGAGAAACGCCCAAGACUCCUACGGGAGGCAGCAGUGGGGAAUUUUGCACAAGGGGCGAAAGCCUGAUGCAGCAACGCCGCGUGCGGGAUGAAGCCCUUCGGGUUGUAAACCGCUUUCGCCAGGGACGAGGCGAAAGUGACGGUACCUGCAAAAGAAGCCCCGGCUAACUAGGUG
rnacentral:rRNA from 1 species